UCUCCCGCCCUGUCCUUGCUGGUCCCUGCGCAGCGCCAACUUUCUGCUUCUAAGGGCCUCCUUCCGCAACACCAGCUCUAGUAUCUUUCCGGGUGAUAAAUUUGUUAAUCAGAAUCGAUUAACCGACGUCCUUGACAUACAUCCAGGGUCAGAAUAUUGAACCACUAUGCAUUCGACAUUGGUAGCAGUCAGAAAAAGAGUCUUUUUCUGAGCAGAUGACAAUGAAAUACAGCAGCUCCCACCCGGUCUUCCGCAGAGACUGCUCAGGGUUGAACAAGUGCAGAUUGCCAUAUUGACAUGAAGCCUAAUGGGUGUGAAAUCUGUUUUCUUUUGGGAGGCUCAGGAACCAAAUCCAAGAAGUCUGCCUACUCUUCCUUCUCCCCAGUAGCAUUUUGGAAACUGGCUUUGAUGUGGUCAGGACAAAACAGGAACAAAUGGCCUUACCAGACUCACCAGGCACCCGCCUGUCGAGGGAGCAUUGUUUGACAGACAAGGUAGAAGGGUGACACCUCUGGGACACCGUUGCUCAUGGACCACAGAUGGCGCGCAGAAGUGCUCUGCUCUUUCUCUAGACCACCUGGCUUCAAAACAGCACUAACCUAUCAUUUGCUGUUUGAAGUCACCUCCAUCAUGGACUUCUCUCUGUUUGUCUCCUCCACUAUCCUGGACUCUGUCCCGAGCAUCUGGAACCCAGCCUACCGAGUUCAAUCAGAUCCCCAUCUUUCAUUUCAGUAGUCCUUCAGGUCACAGCUGUUUGUGGAGUGAAUGACUGAAGGAAAUGUGGAAGGGGGAGGCGGGUCAGGUAACAUUGUUAUCACUCCUCUCACCCUAUAAUCAAGAAUCUGAGCCAGGUGCUGUGGCACACACCUGUAAUCCCAGGGGCUCAGGAGGCUGAGG